rfam:Gymnopus luxurians FD-317 M1 unplaced genomic scaffold GYMLTscaffold_9, whole genome shotgun sequence.
GGGCACUUGGCACAGUUGGUAGCGCGCACGCUUCGCACGUGAUCGAGUGCGUGAGGUCAGGAGUUCGACUCUCCUAGUGUCCA